rnacentral:rRNA from 1 species
UUCGGAAACGGACGCUAAUACCGCAUACGUCCUACGGGAGAAAGCAGGGGACCUUCGGGCCUUGCGCUAUCAGAUGAGCCUAGGUCGGAUUAGCUAGUUGGUGAGGUAAUGGCUCACCAAGGCUACGAUCCGUAACUGGUCUGAGAGGAUGAUCAGUCACACUGGAACUGAGACACGGUCCAGACUCCUACGGGAGGCAGCAGUGGGGAAUAUUGGACAAUGGGCGAAAGCCUGAUCCAGCCAUGCCGCGUGUGUGAAGAAGGUCUUCGGAUUGUAAAGCACUUUAAGUUGGGAGGAAGGGCAGUAACCUAAUACGUUAGUGUUUUGACGUUACCGACAGAAUAAGCACCGGCUAACUCUGUGCCAGCAGCCGCGGUAAUACAGAGGGUGCAAGCGUUAAUCGGAAUUACUGGGCGUAAAGCGCGCGUAGGUGGUUUGUUAAGUUGAAUGUGAAAUCCC